GGCCCCGUAGCUCAGCUGGAUAGAGCAACGGCCUUCUAAGCCGUGUGUCGAGCGUUCGAAUCGCUCCGGGGUCACCA
rnacentral:tRNA from 1 species